AACGAACGCUGGCGGCAUGCCUAACACAUGCAAGUCGAACGAUCCCUUCGGGGAUCGUGGCGCACGGGUGCGUAACGCGUGGGAAUCUGCCCUUGGCUUCGGAAUAACAGUUAGAAAUGACUGCUAAUACCGGAUGAUGUCUUCGGACCAAAGAUUAUCGGCCAGGGAUGAGCCCGCGUAGGAUUAGGUAGUUGGUGAGGUAAAGGCUCACCAAGCCGACGAUCCUUAGCUGGUCUGAGAGGAUGCUCAGCCACACUGGGACUGAGACACGGCCCAGACUCGUACGGUAGUCAGCAGUGGGAAAUAUUGGAAGAUGGGCGCAAGCAUGAUCCAGCAAUGCGGCGGGAGUGAUUAAGGCCUUCGGGUCGUAGAGCUCUUUUACCCGGGAUGAUAAUGACGGUACCGGGAGAAUAAGCUCCGGCUAAGUCCGUGCCACCCGCCGCGGUAA
rnacentral:rRNA from 1 species